rnacentral:rRNA from 1 species
AUUGAACGCUGGCGGCAUGCCUUACACAUGCAAGUCGAACGGCAGCACGGGAGCAGUCCUGGUGGCGAGUGGCGAACGGGUGAGUAAUACAUCGGAACGUGCCCAGUAGUGGGGGAUAACCCGGCGAAAGCCGGACUAAUACCGCGUACGACCUACGGGUGAAAGCAGGGGAUCUCAUGGCAACAUGCGACCUUGCGCUAUCGGAGCGGCCGAUGUCAGAUAGCUAGUUGGUGGGGUAAAAGCCUACCAAGGCGACGAUCUGUAGCUGGUCUGAGAGGACGACCAGCCACACUGGGACUGAGACACGGCCCAGACUCCUAC